ACCGGGUUCACCUUACGUUGUGCAAUUAGCUGUGUUUUGAAGAACCGUAGCAAUGUCUGGUUGGAAUGCACCUCCCACCCAAUAUAAGAAUCCUUUCAACAGUGUUCCCAGGAGAUGGUCAAACAAUCCUUGCUUUAACUCCUGAAAAUACACAGGGGAAGCUUGUUCCUCUAACUGUGAUACCCUCUGCAGAGCAAGAAUAAUUUUGGAAAAAGAAUAAUCCUUUCAUCUUACAGCACAGCCGAAGCCCGGGAUGCGUGGCCAAAGGAAGAAGGAGCAAGAGAUGAUGAAGGUGGUGCCGAGAACCUGGUCUCUAAAAGAGAGAGAUUCUGGUUCAGGCUUCUGCUCCACCACUGCCGAUUUCAUCCUCCUGAAGGGCCUCCCAAAGCCCAAGCCUUGCACACCCCUCUGCCACGUAUGACUCGAAGCCCCUGCAGUCUCUGAAGAAAGACCUGACUAUGCCGGAGGCAGCCGCCUGCAAUUUCCAGUCUGCUAAGUGAGGCUCUGUGGGGUUUUAAUUCUCCCCUUCACUUCAGAGGCCCCCAUUCCUCCUUUUAAGUACCUCCCUCCUCCUGGCUGUGACAUCUCUGUCAACAUCCUGGGGCAGGAGAUGCGCUGACAUUACGGUUGCCACAGAUUAAUCUAACGGCUAUAUUGAUUUCUCGGUUAUAUCUGCUCCAAGAGAGCCACUGAAAAUCGGCCCUCAGGGUCUGAAAAGAUAAAAGAAGAGAGACGAGGAAUAGAGUCCUGAGUGAGCACCUACAAUGCACUAGACACCAGGAACAGAUUCAGAGGUGAGUGACAUUCAUGUAUUCAUUCAACAAAUAUUUAUUAAGCUCCUACUAUGUGACAGCCAUAUUAGGAACUUGGUUCAGACCAG
rnacentral:lncRNA from 1 species